rnacentral:rRNA from 1 species
UACGUAGGGUGCAAGCGUUAAUCGGACUUACUGGGCGUAAAGCGUGCGCAGGCGGUUUUGUAAGACAGGCGGGAAAUCCCCGGGCUUAAACUGGGAAUUGCGCUUGUGACUGCAAGGCUGGAGUGCGGCAGAGGGGGAUGGAAUUCCGCGUGUAGCAGUGAAAUGCGUAGAUAUGCGGAGGAACACCGAUGGCGAAGGCAAUCCCCUGGGCCUGCACUGACGCUCAUGCACGAAAGCGUGGGGAGCAAACAGG